CCUACGGGAGACAGCAGUGGGGGAUAUUGCACAAUGGGGGGAACCCUGAUGCAGCGACGCCGCGUGGGGGAAGAAGCGCCUCGGCGCGUAAAGCCCUGUCAGCAGGGAAGAAAAUGACGGUACGUGAAGAAGAAGCCCCGGCUAACUACGUGACAGCAGCCGCGGUAAUACGUAGGGGGCACGCGUUAACCGGAUUGACUGGGUGGAAAGGGGGCGCAGACGGCGAUGCAAGCCAGGAGUGAAAGCCCGGGGCCCAACCCCGGGACUGCACUUGGAACUGCGUGGCUGGAGUGCAGGAGGGGCAGGCGGAAUUCCUGGUGUAGCGGUGAAAUGCGUAGAUAUGAGGAAGAACACCGAUGGCGAAGGCAGCCUGCUGGACUGCAACUGACGUUGAGGCCCGAAAGCGUGGGGAGCAAACAGGAUUAGAUACCCCUGUAGUC
rnacentral:rRNA from 1 species